GUUCUUUAGAAGUGGUGGAGUGUGGAUUUUGAAAUCAAGAAUCAUGCUGUCAAGAUUUCUCAGCUAGGUCCCGGAUUUAAAGCUCUUAUUCCAGAUCUGUAUAGAGGAAAGGUUGGUCUUGAUGUCGCGGAAGCCCAGCAUUUGAUGGAUGGGCUCGAUUGGCAGGGCGCUGUAAAGGAUAUAGAGGCCUCGGUUAACUGGCUUAAAGCAAAUGGUUCAAAGAAGGU